AUUGAACGCUGGCGGCAGGCCUAACACAUGCAAGUCGAACGAGUGGCGGACGGGUGAGUAAUGUCUGGGAAACUGCCUGAUGGAGGGGGAUAACUACUGGAAACGGUAGCUAAUACCGCAUACCAUCAGAUGUGCCCAGAUGGGAUUCGCUUGUUGGUGGGGUAACGGCUCACAAAGGCGACGAUCCCUAGCUGGUCGGAGAGGAUGAUCAGGCACACUGGAACGGAGACACGGUCCAGACUCCGACGGGAGGCAGCAGUGGGGAAUAUUGGACAAUGGGCGAAAGCCUGAUCCAGCCAUGCCGCGUGUGUGAAGAAGGUCUUCGGAUUGUAAAGCACUUUAAGUUGGGAGGCGGUACCAACAGAAUAAGCACCGGCUAACUUCGUGCCAGCAGCCGCGGUAAUUC
rnacentral:rRNA from 1 species